UACCAAUUAGUGGUUUGGUUUUCAAGUUUCUGCAUAAAAUUUCUGUCCUUCACUGAUUUAACUGAGAAUUAUAUGCUAAUUGAAUAUGUUAAUUAGUUUUUGAACUUCAUGUUUCAGCUUUAUGAUAUUUUCUUCUAAUGAUGAAAGCUGACUUUGGAGGCGUUGAACAUGUAUUCUUAUGAGUGUGCAGUUCCUUCGACGUGCAAAGAUUACGGGGAAGAAAGUCAUGGCUGGUGUUAUCUUUUCAAGCCCUCUGGACGCAACACUCAGGCGGCGGCGUUCAGACCGAAGUUAGCUCUAGAGCUUGGGAUUCAUUGCUCAAAAGAAAUUUCUAUAGUCUUAAGUUGAGUGUUUUGUGUUUAUAACAAACUCCAGUUAUGGAGAUCAUUGUGAAAGUGCAUUGCUUUAGUGUUGUUUUCUGCUGUCUACAUACCUUACUUACAUCUUACAUAAUCUCUGUUUCAAGGACAAUGAUGCAUGUGGUGAAGAUCUUGAAGCUGUUGGCGGCAAUCUCUACCUUCAAGAUUGCUCUUUUUUUGGCUGCAGUUACUCUGCAAGCUCAUACAUGGUUGAUACUGAUAUACUUUGUAGUGUCUACUAAUGGUUGGAAUCAGGAUAAUGCAGUUUCCUACCUUUUCUCAAGAAGCAAUUGUCUUGCAGCAUGUACUUCACCACUCUCUUUUUUCUUAUGUUGAUAAUGAUGAAUUUUUUACUAAUCUGUUUUAGCUGUAUUGCAGCUUAUUGCAGAGUAUUCAAUCUUUCCAUGUUUGAAUCAUCAUGUAAAUACACUUUCUUGAAUUAAAAAAAAACCAAAUUCUUAAUCAAAAUCAUCCUUGAGUUAUAAUUUAAAUGCAGUUCAUGAUUAGUUGUAUUUUUUAUUCUAAUUCUUAAGUGAUUUUUGCAAGAGCGUUAACUCUUCUUUCAUAUUAUAUGAGCAACAUUAUCAAAGUAUUAUAUAUGUCAUUGCUGGCACUUGCAUUCUCAGUUUGGGAAGUUGCCUCUUUUAUACCCAUGGUCCAGGCUAAAAUCAUACCCUUAUGAGUUAACAGCUGGGUUAUACAGUUCUAAUGGUCAUGACAUGUCGACCAUACGAGGCAACCUCAGAGAUCUUUGCAAAUCAAUAAAAUUUCUCAAUUUAGAAAACCUUCCUUAACAAGUUAGGGUUUAGGAUUGAUUUAAAUAAGAUAAUAUAUAUAAAGAUUAGUGAAUCAUGAAUAUAUUCAAUUAGGGUUUACAAUAUAUUUCAAUACUAAAAAAAUAAGAUAAGUGAAUAACUUAAUCAUAAUUAAUUUUUAAUUAAUUCUUUGUUCAAUAUUUUCACCAUUAUUUGUAUCUAUGUAUUUAUUAAUAUUAAAUAUUCAUCUAAAAUAUUUUUAAUUAUUCUAAAAUUAACAUAUAAUAUUUUAAUAUUUAUUAAAAUAUUACAAAAUUCAACUACCAUAAAGAAACAAAUUAAAUAUUAAAAGUGUUAAAAUUCUUAAAAAUCAUAUAUGUCAAUAUAAAAUAGAAAUAAGAUUUUUAUAUAUUAUAGUUACAAAAUUAUAAGAUGAAAAUUAUAAAUUUAUAAGCUGUUUAGAGCCUUUGAUUAAAUCAGUAAAUCACAUUACAAAGACUUUUUUCAAAUUGUUACCUCGAGUCUAUUAAUAAUUUAAUAUAUCGUUUGAUUUGUCCAUCGUUUGUUUAUAGUGUUAUAUGAAAUAAAUGUGUGUAAAGAUCAAGGUUAGAGCAUCACCAAUCAAUGCAGUGAUUUUUUUUUACAAUUUUUUAAAAAAAUUCUAAUUUACUUCUCGCUAUUCCACCGUCUAAAGGUUAAGAAUAGUGAAAAUAUGUUUCUACUUCAACAUACAAACGAUAUUCCAAUACCAAUGACUAAUAUAUCUGCAUGUGUGUAAUGAAAUCUAUUCAAAGUACUUUUAUGUAGUAACUAACUAAAAAUGGAAUCGUUCGUAUUGAAAUCUACUACAGAUUUCACAUUUUCAUAAUAAAUAAUUUUACAAAUAAAAAAUGCCAAACAGUUUUAAUAUUAAAAAUAAAUGAUGGCUUCAAAGCUUAAAUAAUUACUAAAUCAUUUUCAUGGGUCAUCAAUAUUUACAGAUUUCAAUAUUCAAAAUUAUUACACAUUUAUAAAAUUAUAUAUUUAUAUGAAGCAAAGGUUAUUUAACUAUACUUCAAAUAAUAAUUUAAAAAAUCAAACAGAUGAUCUAUAAGAAAAUAUAUAAUAUACAUUAGAUAAUAGAAGACGUUUAUAUUUUAUUAAAUGUAGAGUAUUUUAAAUUUUAAGAAAGAAUAAAAUAUGAUUAUUAAAAGAUUAAUAGAAACAUCUAAUAUGUUUAAGAUAAUAUAUAUAUUAAAAUAGAAAGUGAUGAUAUUUCUAAAAAAAAUAAUCUUUCAAAAAAAAUGAUAUAAUAGAAACAUUAAAAAACCUUUUAAAAAAAUCUAAGGUUUAAGUUAUAUUUAAUAUUAAAAUUAUAUAAAUUUUAUA